CUUGCCAACACACAAACAUAAGAGGUCCAGCCUGCCCAGUGACAAAUUGUUCAACGGCCGCGGUAUUCUGACCGUGCAAAGGUAGCGUAAUCACUUGUCUUUUAAAUAAAGACUGGUAUGAAAGGCACCACGAAGAUUCAACUGUCUCUCUUAUCUAGUCAGUGAAACUGAUCUCCCCGUGCAGAAGCGGGGAUGCACACACAAGACGAGAAGACCCCAUGGAGCUUAAAACACAAGCAACUGCUAUCCAAUAACCAUCGAAAGACUAAAUCUACAUCAAGCAGAAAUGACCCAAUGUUUUCGGUUGGGGCGACCACGGAGAAUAAAACAUCCUCCGCGAGAUGGAGGUUACACCCUGAAACGAACGACAGUUCUAAACAUCAGAACAUCUGACCUUCUUGAUCCAGUCUAACUGAUCAACGAAC
rnacentral:rRNA from 1 species